rnacentral:rRNA from 1 species
UACGUAGGCAGCGAGCGUUGUUCGGAGUUACUGGGCGUAAAGGGUGUGUAGGCGGUUUGUUUAAGUUUGGUGUGAAAUCUCCCGGCUCAACUGGGAGGGUGCGCCGAAUACUGAAUGACUAGAGUGCGGGAGAGGAAAGUGGAAUUCCUGGUGUAGCGGUGAAAUGCGUAGAUAUCAGGAGGAACACCGGUGGUGUAGACGGCUUUCUGGACCGUAACUGACGCUGAGACACGAAAGCGUGGGUAGCAAACAGG